CCUGUUUAUCAAAAACAUAGCCAUAAGCAUACAUUUAUGGUUAGACCUGCCCAAUGUGAAAGAUGAAUGGCCGCGGUACUCUGACCGUGCUAAGGUAGCGUAAUCAGUUGGCUUUUAAAUGGAGUCAGGAAUGAAUGGAUUAACCGGGUUUAGCUGUCUCUAAGUUAUUAUUUUGAAUUUACUGUCUAAGUGAAAAAGCUUAGUAAUAGAAAAGGGACGAGAAGACCCUUAGAAUUUUUUCUAAAAUAAGUGUGUUUUUGAAAAAGAUUACUUUUAAUGAUUUUAUUGGGGCGAUAAGGAAAUAUAUCAUAACUUUCUUUUAUCAGACACGCCGAUUAUAUUAAGACAGGAUAAAUUACCUGAGGGAUAACAGCAUAAUCUUAUAAAUGAGUUUGUGACCUCGAUGUUGGACUAGGAAACUAACAAGCUAGGCGUUUGUUGUGUGGGUUCUGUUCGAACUUUAAAUCCUACAUGAUCUGAGUUCAAACCG
rnacentral:rRNA from 1 species